ACCUCUAGCCAGGGACGCGCGCUCGGUCCCCCGCCGUGCGCCCCCGGUCCCGCGCCCAGGCUCCCGCCCCUGGCCUCCUUACCAGCCACUUGUCGCCCAGCUGCGAACUGGAGCGGGAGGCGGCGGCCGGAGGGCCCAGGACAGCCCCGGGAGGGCGGCGAGGCGGAGCAGGAGCGCCCCGGCUCCGGCCACAUUCUCAGAGUCAGGAAAAGGGGCGAGAGGCCACAUGUCUCCCUCUCGCCCAACUGAAAACGAAACGGCGCUCCAGCAGAUUGGGUGGAAAGAGCUGGGUCUCUUUUCUCUGUUUUUCACGCUAGAAAGGGCUUGUAAACAUUGUUCCUUUUAAAAUGACCUACCCCAGGCAUUUGUUUGGGCACACUUCUGUCCUGGGGUCAUCGUUCCUAGGUGGCUUCGGACCUGGGACUUUUCCUGUAUCUGCACAUUGUCGUUUUAUACACAAUUGCCAAGGUGGGACUGCUUUCAACUUUACUGUGCUUGAAGCUGCAAAGGUUCUGCCCUGAUGUUUCCUGGAAUAAUGCUGAGGACUGCCUUUCGGGUAGCCGCCCUAUUCAGUUCACUUCAUCUCGGAAAUACCUGACCCCUGCCUUGGAUCCAGCGGCCCUCCUGAGAGCUGAGGAAGGAGGAAAUCCUAUGUGUCUGCUCCCGGAGCUGCCACAACCCAUCUUCCCACAACUCGGAACUUGGAAAAAGGAACCCAGGACACGACUUUGCUUUUCUUUUGGACCUAGUUGCAACUUUUAAAAGCCUUUCCACUGCACAGUGAAAGAAAACCACAAACUCCUUGUUUAAUAAGUGGGAUCACGUGCUUUUAACACGAGGAAAAGGUCAAUCUGAAGCAACUGAUAUGGAACUGCCAGAGUAGGAGUUGAAAAUCUUCCUAAACUGCUGGAGGAUACACCUCUGAUAGCUUGAGACAAAUAUCCUCUUGAUCAUUGUUUCACCAUAUUUGUCUUUGCUCAUGGAGAACCAUUUUGAUCCGUGGUUUAGCCUCCCAGGUGAUUGAACAAUACCGGUGAUCUGAGGCAGACCCUCUGUGACGGAUAACAGGAAAGAAUAUUGAUUGAACAUCUACUCAAGAACUGCAAAACAGAGAUUACCUGACCUAAAGCAUUUAUAUUGCCAAUCAUGUUGGAGAGUCCAUGUGGUGAUUUCUGAAAACGAGAUGUGAGAAAGAAGAGGAUAAUUUAAGUCUAGACCUACAGAUUGUGCUGAUAAAGUGAUGAAGAACUACAAUCUUCUUAGUCAUUUCAUUGUAUAAGUGCAAUAAAGGAUUUUGUGUCUUUCCUGGCAAACAACUUGUGACCACAGUGAUGGCUCCAGCAGAAUGGAAAAGACCCUUUACCUCACAUCUCAGAAGUAAAGAUGCUGAUUAUUUGACAUCGCCAUUGGAAUCUCAAAACAGUGUAAAGCAUUUGCUAAAAAGAGUCACUUUCUGAGAAAUGACUCAGAAUUCGACUUACGUACUAGCAGAACUUAUUGCCCAUAAAAGGAAAGGCCACACUUUUUGUGAAAACUUAAUAAUCCCUAGGAUGUAAAAUUAUACUGAGUUAAAUCCUAGUCCCAUUUUUAGUACAAGAAACUGGAAAAAAAUAAUCCACUCUCAAAUGGUAAGACAAAUUGAGAUAUUGCUGAAAAGCCUCUUGACCCUGAAAAGUUCUGAAUAAUAAACUGAUAAAAGCAGCAGCAGCAUCUAACUUGACACCAGUCAUGUCAUUUG
rnacentral:lncRNA from 1 species